AUUGAACGCUGGCGGCAGGCUUAACACAUGCAAGUCGAGCGGAGAUGAGGUGCUUGCACCUUAUCUUAGCGGCAGACGGGUGAGUAAUGCUUAGGAAUCUGCCUAUUAGUGGGGGACAACAUUCCGAAAGGAAUGCUAAUACCGCAUACGCCCUACGAGGGAAAGCAGGGGAUCUUCGGACCUUGCGCUAAUAGAUGAGCCUAAGUCGGAUUAGCUAGUUGGUGGGGUAAAGGCCUACCAAGGCGACGAUCUGUAGCGGGUCUGAGAGGAUGAUCCGCCACACUGGGACUGAGACACGGCCCAGACUCCUACGGGAGGCAGCAGUGGGGAAUAUUGGACAAUGGGCGGAAGCCUGAUCCAGCCAUGCCGCGUGUGUGAAGAGGGCCUUUUGGUUGUAAAGCACUUUAAGCGAGGAGGAGGCUACCUGGAUUAAUACUCUAGGAUAGUGGACGUUACUCGCAGAAUAAGCACCGGCUAACUCUGUGCCAGCCGCCGCCGUAAAAC
rnacentral:rRNA from 1 species